GGGCCCAUGGCUCAGCUGGUAGAGCGCCUCCCUUGCACGGAGGAGGUCAGCGGUUCGAUCCCGCUUGGGUCCACCA
rnacentral:tRNA from 1 species